UGGGGAAUAUUGGACAAUGGGGGGAACCCUGAUCCAGCAAUGCCGCGUGUGUGAGGAAGGCCUGAGGGUUGUAAAGCACUUUCAGAGGGGAGGAGGACUAUUAGGUUAAGAGCUAGAUAGUUGGACGUUACCCUCAGAAGCAGCACCGGCUAACUACGUGCCAGCAGCCGCGGUAAUACGUAGGGACCAAGCGUUGUUCGGAUUUACUGGGCGUAAAGGGCGUGUAGGCGGCAAUUCAAGUCAUCUGUGAAAUCUCCGGGCUUAACUCGGAACGGUCAGAUGAUACUGCUUUGCUAGAGUGCAGAAGGGGCAAUCGGAAUUCUUGGUGUAGCGGUGAAAUGCGUAGAUAUCAAGAGGAACACCUGAGGUGAAGACGGGUUGCUGGGCUGACACUGACGCUGAGGCGCGAAAGCCAGGGGAGCAAACGGGAUUAGAUACCCUAGUAGUCCCUGAGCGGGCUGGCAAGGCGCAU
rnacentral:rRNA from 1 species